UACCCCUAAACGCUCCAGUGCAACAGUCAGAUAUUAAAGCAACAGCGCUAAUUUCCAAUAGCCAACACAAGCUUCCCUUGAAAGCUAUUUCAAGUCCCAAAUACUCCACAGUUUGGUGGACUGUAGAGUACCCAGAAACUGUUUCCUCUUCAGAACAAUUUAGCUGAUAAAAAUUCCUUCCAAUUACACAUCAAACACCAAAUAUAGAUACGUACUUGAACAUCAAGUUUGUUAAUUUCUUUACCAAAACAAAACAAACCCAAUUCACCAAAAAGCUAAAUAAAAACAGGAGAUUCACAAACACCCAAUAAAAAAAGAACACCAGAACCUGCAGCUUCAGCAACCCCACUUCACAGAAACCCCACUCAGCUCCUUGUACAAAAAUCCAGCAAACUAAAAGAGCUAGAUAUGCAGCAAAACAUGAAUCACCAGAAAGCAGUUUAUAAAAGGCUUGAUUUCACAACAAAUUACCGCAAAAAUGUGAACUUUACGCGCAAUUGUUUCACUUGUGCAGUCAAAGAGGAAGAAAAAUACAAGCCUUACUGGUCACCACAGCUCAGAGAAGCAAAAUGAAACAUUUCGUUAGGGUUAGGGUUUCUUCCUCGUUCUUUGCAGCUAAACUCGGCAACAACCCUCACUUUCUCUCUCUUCUCUCUCUCUCUCUCUCUCUCUC
rnacentral:misc_RNA from 1 species